GUAGGUUAAGGUUAAGGUCUAGGUUAAGGUUAUAAGUUUUAGGAUUUGAGAAUAGGUUUAGGUUAAGGUUAUAAGUCUAGGUUUAGGUUAUAGGUUAAGGUUUAGGUUUAGGUUAUAAGUUAUAAGUAUAGGUUAUAGGUUAAGGUUAAGGUCUAAGUUUAGGUUAUAGGUUAAGGUUUUGGGAUUUGAGAAUAGGUUUAGGUUAAGGUUAUAAGUAUGGGUUAAGGUUUAGGUUUAUGCUAUAGGUAUAGGUUUAGGUUAUAGGUUAUAAGUAUAGGUUAUAGGUUAAGGUCUAGGUUAUAGGUUAAGGUUUUGGGAUUUGAGAAUAGGUUUAGGUUAAGGUUAUAAGUCUAGGUUUAGGCUAUAAGUUAAGGUUUAGGUUUAGGUUAUAGGUUAUAAGUAUAGGUUAUAGGUUAAGGUUAUGGUCUAGGUUUAGGUUAUAGGUUAAGGUUUUGGGAAUUGAGAAUAGGUUUAGGUUAAGGUUAUAAAUCUAGGUUUAGGUUAUAGGUUAAGGUUUAGGUUUAGGUUUAGGUUAUAUGUUAUAAGUAUAGGUUAUAGCUUAAGGUUUAGGCUAUAGGUUAAGGUUUUGGGAUUUGAGAAUAGGUUUAGGUUAAGGUUAUAAGUCUAGG